UCCAUUAAAAUUGAAGUUGACGCAAUCUGAAAAUGAUGAUGGAAUUCGCUAGCGACAACUCGAUUUUGAACGCUCCAGAAGAUACUUAAUUUGAUACAGAUGCAAAUAUAGCGAUAUUAAACAACGCCUAAAAUCCGUUCAAGAAAAGAACGCUUAAUGUAAAAAAGUUCAGGCAGUUGAGUUUCCGGAAAAACUGCUUAUGGCGUUAAAAGUAUUAGAUAUGUUAAAGAGGUAAUUGCGGCGGAUAUCAAAAAAAUUGUAUAUUCCAUUGGAAAUUCUAGAAGGUCGACAAAUUUCGGGCGGGAAAUGGAUGUUGACGGAAUCCGAACUACUUAAAUAAGGACGAACGGUCUACCCUACGUUUGAACUACGACUGUAACAAAAUACUCUC